ACAAAAAUAUACGGUAUGUCGAUGUAUCUAUUUCGUAAAUAUCCUAAAUAUAUUUGCAAUGUCAAACCAUGACCGUGGGGGUCAAAGUCUAGUUAUAUAGUAUAAUAUAAUAAAAUAUAAUAAACGUAACAUAUUGAUUGUUGUAUUAAGAGCAUUUAUGUUUCGGGACCGUCAAUUUUUAGUUAGAGAAGUCGAAAAAUAUAACCAUAACCAUUAGGUCACUUUGAUAUAGUAAGUUCUUUGUUUCAUUUCUGCAUAGGUUGUCUGACCUUAGGAUAUUACGGAGAGAACUGUUCCACUCCUUGUCCAGAAAACUGUAAGGGUGGAGACUGUGACAUUGUGGAUGGAACUUGUGUUAGCUGUGUUCCGGGAUAUAGUGGAUCUAUGUGUAACAUAGUCUGUGGCGCUUGCUACGAAAAAGAACAAUGUGACUUCAAAAAUGGUACUUGUCCAAAUGGAUGUGAAGACGGGUAUAAAGGGAGACAAUGCAAAACUGUUUGCACUAACAACACGUAUGGCCCUAAUUGCUCUAUGACAUGUGGACAUUGUCUCUACCUGUAUGGAGAAAAAUGUAACCACGUGACCGGUCAGUGUCCUCGCGGAUGUGCUUCCGGCUUUCAAGGAGACCUUUGUGUUGAAUCAAGAAGUGAAUUCAGGAACACGACACUUGCAUGGUCGACAUAUAAUGCAACAGAUAAAUUCAAGAACAAGACACUUGUACGGCCAAUGAAUGAUGCUUAUGGUCCACCUGUUUUGCAAACUACAGUUCAAGUUCCUUUUUAUUCCAUCAUCAUCGUUGUCGUAUUGUUUUCAGUCAGUGGUCUUCUCAACCUGUUUUUCAUAUCCAGACAGGUACUUGCAAGAUGCCGCAAUCGAGAAGAAAAGGUAGACGAAUCUGUCGAACAACCGAACACUAUUGUGAACAGUAUUUAUAUUCAAGAAAACGGAUUUUCUACUUACCAGGAACUCGAGCAUGCUGACCAAAAAGUAAACAAUGAUGUAUAUACUUCAUUAGCAUAGAACCGAAUAAUGAGGGGUAUAUGUUGUUGUUAUGAAAAGUACGUUUUUCAAAAAUAUAUAUUAUGUGAAAAUUCGAAUGCAUUUGUUAGAAAGACGGAAUAUUAUUUAAAAUUUCUUACUCUUACCCUUGACACGGCCAAAUGAACAUAUUGGUAUCCUGCGAUCUGUUAAAAUGUUGAAAAAGAAACAGCAUCCCAUUUUUUAAAAACAUUCGAAUGCUUUAUUCGCCUUUUGUUUUUGUUUGAUGUGUAUUUGUAUGUUAUUUGCUUGGCAAUAAAUACUAUAAUAUGUACGAAUAAAGUUACACAAAAU
rnacentral:misc_RNA from 1 species